AACCUCCUGUGUUUCAGUUUGUGGCCACUGCCUCUGGUCCUGUCACUGGGCACCCCUGAGAAGAGCCUGGCUCCGUCUUCUUUGUACCCUCCAGGUACUUGUACACAUAGAUGAGAUCCUCCCUGAGCCUUCUCCAGAUUGAACAGUCCCAGCGUUCUCAGCCUUUCCUCAUGGGAGAGAUGCUCCAGUCCCUUAUCAUCAUUUUUUUGAACUCUCUGCAGUAUGUCCCUGUCUCUCCUGUACAGACACAGCACUCCAGUACUGAGUAGAGGGGGAGGAUCCCCUCCCUCAGCCUGCUGGUGAUGUUUUGUCUGAUGCAGCCCAGGACACCAUUAGCCUUCAGCAGAGCAAGGGAGUGUUCCUGACUCAUGUUGAGUUGGUGUCCCCUGGGACCUGCAGGUCCUUUUCUGCUGACCUGCUUUCCAGCGUAUGUGGGUGCCUGGGCUUGUUCCUCACCAGAGACAGGACUUUGUGCUUCCCCUCUUUGAUCUUCCUGAGGUUCCUGCCAGCCCAUUUCUUCAGCCUGUCACAAUCCCUCUUGGUGGCAGCAGGACCUGGUGGUGCAUCAAGCAGUGGAGCUGCUAAUCUAGUGGUGAUCUGGGUGUCACGUAGCAGUGGAGCUACUUUAGCUUGCUCAGAGAAAUCUUUUUCUUUUCCUUGUACAUCCAUCAGAAGAUAGAUCUUCAAGAGGCACAGAACUGAUGAAGGAAUGCUUUCUGCCAACAGUAUAGGCAUUGUUUGGUAGCAAUAGAAAAGGCACAUCUAAGGAAAAUGAGCCUCAGAAAGUCAUUUGAACUCUAUGUAUUAACCUUUAACAUUAUUUUCAGCCUCUUCUGAUGACUGGACUUUUAGGCUACUCUGACAUAAGGAAGGUAGAACAGUGCACACAGUAUGGCUGCAGCCAAGUUUUACACUGUUUCUGCACAAAAUACUACAAGGCUGAUGUAGUUCUGUAAUUUCUGAGCUUUGUUUCAUCCCUUCUGCAAUGACUGGAAGAUGGUAACAGGCUAAUCUUAGUAGCUUUACUUUUAAAUUAGUUUUAUUUUGUUUUUCCUUUGAAAGGGCAAACAUUUCCUUAUGGAUAUGGGACAGGAGAGUUUUUUUAUUAUUGUAACAAUUAUUGAAAAACUUUCUUGAUUAUUAAAUAUUGUUUUCCUAAAGGCCAAAUUUAAAUGCCAAACUUGUAUUUGUGAAACUUGGAGUCAAAGGAUCGCAGCUGCAAAGUGAUUCUAAGAAAAGUUCAUCUCACUGAAGCUCUACUUAGUGCCUAAAAUUUACUUUCUCCAGAAUUUUUGAGGUCCUGUUUCUGCAACUCUUGAAAUGAAAAUAUUUUAACUCGUUAGAAAUACAGUGAUAAACUAUCUGAUUAGAUUUAUCUGAACUUGAGCAAAUGUGUAUAUUAGUCAUAAUUCAUUCAAACAAAUGUUAAAAUUCUGUGCUCACUGAAACUGGGACAUUCAGGGAAUGAUAAUGAGGCAAUAAUGUCCGUUGUCUGUGUGCUUCAUUUGUUGUCCAACUCUUAUGAGAAGGAACUGGAUUUGCAUCUUGUAGGUAAAAAGCAUUUUGGGCUAGCUUUAUACUACUGAUUUUCAUUGCAUUUGUGACAAGUGCAAGAAGGUAUAAUACUUUUCUUCCCUUUAUUUACUUAUAUUGGACUAGAGAGACACACAACUAACACCAUGUGUAAAAGUCCUCUUUCUCUCCCUAUUUACAAUUUACAAAAGCUGCAAUGCUUUUGAUUUCAGUGGAGUUACUCUGGCAUGAAACUGGUAGAAGAGGAAAAAAUUAUCUUCAGGGAGAGAUCCUUCUAAGGGAUCAUGCAAGCCUUUGUUUUAGCUGCCUUAAAAUGUUAGAUUAUUAGAGAGGCCUGGUUUUCAGAGCACUCUGGGGCAAGAAACUACUGUUGGUCUCCAUGUGAUGUCAUUUACCAACCCUCCUUUUACCAUCUUCUGAAGCCCUUGACCCCCCAGGCAGCCACAGUGGCUCCAGUGGAGAGCUCUGACUCAAGGUCUCUGCAGAAUCCAGCUGGUUCUGCAUUGCCAUUCCAGCCCCCUUUGGCAAAGGCACGUUCUGAGGCUGUGACAGAGAAACCAAGUCAGGGCUGAAGCUUCUGGGUGAAAGCAGUUUCCUGACUUUUGUUUCUCCUUUGACAGAGACUGUAAAACACUUUUGUGGUUUUUUCUUGUUGCAUAUAGUACACAGGACUCACAGAUUCCUGAAUGAUUUCAGCUGGGAUAUUGCAGAUGUCAGUAGAUUUUCUUACCUAUUAAAAUUAAGACAGUAAUUAGGAUCACCUGCUGUUUAACUAGUAAGAGAUAAUUAAAAAAAAAAAAAGGCACCAAAUAGCAUGAGUAGCAAAUGGUAUUGGGAAUGCAGUUUAGCCAGGAAGAUGGAAGUGGGAAUUACUGUGCUGAGGAUACUGCCCAAGCAGUGCCAAAGCAGCUUCCUGCACUAACAGCACAAGGUAGGGCCCUGUUGGAAUCAAGUGCUGUGAGCAGUGGAACUGGCAAGUCAGUCAGACAUGCACAGGUGUACCAGCAGAUACCUACUGGCUGAUAUCCUGAAAAGAAAAAAAAAAGUUGAUUUUUCUGCUUGAAAUCCCUCUCUUCCCCUCCAGUUACUCUUGAGAGUGCAAAACCAGGGUAGGUUGGGGUUUUUUUCGCCUACUCUUGUCCCUAGGAGAAAAAGCAGAAAUGCCAGCAAACACAGGUAGGUUCCCAUCUGUCUCAGGGUUUUGCCACACUGACCCACCCAGCCACAGAAGAGCUUUUGCAGUGGUUGGCUCUGGUGAUGAGUGUGGGCCAGCUGUGAGAGCAGCACGAAACAGCUGCAGUCCUGCUGAGGCCAUGGUCACCCUAGGGAGGAGAGGGAGGAGCAGAGGACAGAUUGCCAGCAUCUGCUCGACCUUGGGUGACAGAAAAUUAGUUUAAAAAACAGCUUUAUAUGAAAAAAGUUACUAAGAGGGCACGGCAAAGGGAAGAAAAUGAAAACAUUUACUUUUUGCACCUCUUAAUUCUGAAGUUGCUGAGUCGUUUUAAUAGUAAAUAUUCCUGAACUAAGUUCAGGUUUAUUGUUUGAUGAAAAAUGUCAUUAACCCCUCUUGUUAGAUAAUGCUACAACCCUACUUCAGUUGCAAUCAAUGUUAUCAACAUUAUAGUGGGAAUUAUUUUUGAAAAAACUUAAAGCUUUAUUUAUACUGAGGUUGCAAGUUAAAGUAAAAUUUUUUUGUAAACUUUAGAUGCUCUAAAUAUAUUGGACUUGGAAAACAUCAGAGACUAGAAAUACCUAAUUACUGAGUUUUUUGUGGUGAAGUCAUACUAAGUUCAUCACAGGUAAUACUGUCAUAGUGUUCUAUAAUUCCCACAGCCUGUUCAAUCCUCUGAGUUACGAGUGCUUUGAAAAUGGCUUAUUAUUGUUAAAUUCAUGCCUGUCUCCUUUCUUUUUAAAGGGUUUCAUAGAGUUGUACCUGUUUUUAUUUUGUGCCUCCCACCAUUGUGCAUUUCUGCAUGUUCAGGUGUAAAACUCACUCGAGCAGCUGAUGCAUAUGUACAUAGCUGUAUGUAUGUGUGUAUGAAUGUAUAUGUUUAUACCUCUGCCUGAAUAUAUUCUGUACAGUGUAUAGAAAACCCCUACUGUGUGUAUAUAUGUACAGACAUGGAGCCACUAUUCAUCCAUUCUAUGUGCUAAAGCUUUUUGUUCACUUGCUAAUCCAGAGCUUCCUUGUUUGCAUUUCUUAGCCCAAACUAAACUUAUCAUCACCUAAGCAGAUGAAUCCUCCUGAAUUUCAGAGCUUUGCAGAUUUUUUUCUAAGCCAGUCUGAAUUAAAUAUUUUCUGUUCAGAACUGACAAAUGUAUUUCAUGAAUUUUCUGGCUUUUACAUUACUCCCUUCACCUUUCCUCAUUUGACCUGUAGAAGUUGCUGAGCGAAUAGUUAAUUGAGCAUAUAAUGGCUGUUAAAAACAAUUAACAAAUAACUACAGUUAUAGAAAAUACUUCCCUGCUUUCAGUCUGUACUCAUUCUCUUUCAGCCUCCUGAGAUACUCUCUAGUAAAGUUGCAUUUUGCAGUGAAGCUUGGUAAAAGAUUGAUACUUUUUAAGCCUUUGGCAGUGGCAAAUUGAAACCAAACCAACUUUCCCUUUAUUGUUGAACUGUAGCACACAGAACAGGAGACAAUGAAUGCUGUUUAACAAAUCAAUAUUCAUAUUGCCAUAGUGAUCACAUGUGAGUUAAAUACAGACUCAGUGCUCUGUCCAGUGGAACAGCAGCUCUGGGACAGUGGUAAUUAAACAGGAGGGACAUUGCAGGUAGCUUAUUGCUUAGCAAGCACUAAAACUUUUUCAGGAUUUUGACAAUGAAUUUCAAUUCUUAAGCUGAACAAAGCUUGAUUUAAUUGUCCGAGUAACGUCCAUUUCCUUGUUCUUUCCUUUGCUCGGCCUGGAAUCUGCUCAGCUCCUGCACUGCAUGUGACCUUCCCACUGUCCAUGUGGGGCCUGAGCACACAGUUAUGAAAUGAGUUGUGCAGUAAGACAGUUUAUUAUUCAUAAGGAGGACUUAAACAUUUACAUUAUCAAAAUAUAAAUAGUUCACAUUCUUUUUCUCUUCUGAUGAAGUUACAAAGGGAGCUUUCUGUAAAGUAAAUAUAAUAACUAUGGGGUUUUAAAAAAACAUUUCAUAGACCAUGUAGGGAGUUCAGCAAGUCUUGGUUUUGUCAUAUUAAAAAGGUGAAGCAGACUUUUCUGGGCAUUUAUUUCUACUUUCUGUACUCCAUGUGGCAAAGACUUGUGUAUGUUUAGGCAGAUAAGCAGACAUCAGUCAAAAUAAUGGGAGCUUCUUGCAUGCUCACAAUAUUUUAUAAAGUGAACCACAAGUCUGAGUCAGGCUUUGUGCUUGAAAGGUCUUUGCUGUGGAAAAUGUUAAGAACAUUCUCUUCUGUAUUGGCAAUAAAUGUUUGUAAGUUUUUGUUUCAAAUUUAGAAAAAAAAGGGUAACGUUUCAAAACUUAAUUUUUGCGAUUUUCAGCAGGAAAAAUAUUUAAAUUAAUGGCAGGAAUUCCUGUGACAGGUGAUCCUUCAUUGGUCUGGACAAUUGGUGCUGUUUGAACUCUUGCUUUCCUCUUUAAAGGUGAAUGGAAACCUGAAUGUCUGUUAAUGUUGUACUGCAGGAACAGUUUUAAAGAUUAGGAAGCUAAUUGGGGUAUUAACCAAGAUUAAUUCUGUUAAAAAAAACAAUUUUGAAUUUGGGAAAAAACCCAUAUUUUAGAAUUGUCAAGUUGUUUUAUAUCCACAUUUGAAUUGUUUGUAUUCUGAAAGAUGAAAUGUUCUCAAAUGUAGUGGCAACAAAGGCUCUGUGAUAAUAAAGCACGGGUCCAUUUAAAGAUAUUUUUGAUGAUUGUAGGUUAAAAGUAGGACUGAGUAAAUUUCAAACAAAAAGAAUAGUCUUUAAGAAGAAAACAUUCUACCUACAGACUGGAUGUGUUAAAUUUUUCAUAUAUGGAAUCAAUGUUAAAUGUUGGAAUUUUUUAAUAAUUAUUCUGUACUCUGAAGUACAUUGCAAGCCAGUGUUUAGUUUCCUGGCUGAAAACUGCACAUUAACUGUUUGGCACACCAGGGAGUGCUGAGCUCCUACAAAAAGCAAAUUUUUAUAAAAGGAAGCAUCUACUUUUAAUUCCUUGGGAUAUUUUCUGGAUAUCUCUGUUCAUUAUAACUUAGAAAACUAAUGUUUAUGUUAUUUUUAUUUCAAGUUAAAAACUUUGCAAAAGUUGUUAAUUUCUCACAGCUUCUUCUGUGAAAUCAGCAUUGUUGUGUGUGAGAGCAUUUAAAAAUAAUAGCAUGGUUUUUUUUAAUCUGAAUUUUAUAUCUAAUCAAUGUAUUCAAUCACAAAGAGGAAUUUGCAUUGUUGUGUUUGUAUAUAGAGUAUUACAGUGCAUGAUUUAGCUUAUGCAUUUUAUUAAAUGCUGUUUAAAUGUGGCAUUAUAUUGUUGUGGUUAAUACUAGCUAAAUGAGGUUUAUACCAUUAAAGUGAAUUACACA